UUUUGGGGUGAAAAUGGGGGUUUGGGGUAAUUGAGGGGAUUUGGGGUCCCAGGUGAGGAUCCUGGGGGAUAAUUUCCGCUCCCCAAGUGCAAUUUUGGGGUGAAUUUGGGGGUUUUGAGAGUUUCUCCUGGGAUUUAUGACCCAAAUUCCCACAGAGGGAACAAUUUAGGGAUCCCUCAAAUGUAAUUUUAGGGUGAAUUUGGGAUUUUUCACGGGUUUUUUUUGCCAUUUCUGACCCCAAACCCCCGGGAUUUUUGGGGUGCCUGACCCCACCUCCAAAUGAGCAGACAAAUUAAGGUUCCCCUAAAUAAAUUUGGGGUAAAUUUGGGGUUUUUUGGCAUCGGGCAGGAUGGAGGUGAUGGUGGGGGAUCAAAUUUGGGAUUUUUUAGGGCAAUUUUGCCAUUUUUGCCCCCAAAUCCUGGGGAAUUUUGGGGUGCCUGACCCCACCUCCAAAUGAGCAGACAAAUUAAGGUUCCCCUAAAUUAAUUUGGGGUAAAUUUGGGGUUUUUUGGUGGCGGGCAGGAUGGAGGUGAUGGUGGGGGAUCACAUUUGGGAUUUUUUAGGGCAAUUUUGCCAUUUUAGCCCCCAAAUCCUGGGGAAUUUUGGGGUGCAUGACCCACCUCCCAAAAAGGAGACACAUUAGGGUUCCCCUAAAUAAAUUUGGGGUAAAUUUGGGGUUUUUUGGCGGCGGGCAGGAUGGAGGUGAUGGUGGGGGAUCAGAUUUGGGGAUUUUUGUGAUUUUUUCACCAUUUUUGCCCCCAAAUCCUGGGGAUUUUUGGGGUGCCUGACCCCACCUCCCAAAAAGGAAACACAUUAAGGUUCCCCUAAAUAAAUUUGGGGUAAAUUUGGCGUUUUUCGGUGCCACAGGCAGGAUGGAGGUGAUGGUGUGGGAUCAGAUUUGGGAUUUUUUAGGGCAAUUUUGCCAUUUUUGCCCCCAGCUCCCGGGGAUUUUGGGGCCCCUGACCCCGGCUGCCCCCGAGGGAGCAUUUUGGGGUGAAUUUGUCAUUUUUUGGGGCCGCAGGCAGGAUGGAGGUGACGCUGGGGGAUCAGAUUUGGGAUUUUUUAGGGCAAUUUUGCCAUUUUUGCCCCCAGCUCCCGGGGAUUUUUGGGGUGCCUGACCCCACCUUCCCAAAAAGGAGACAAAAUCAGGGUUCCCCUAAAUUAAUUCGGGGUAAAUUUGGGGUUUUUUGGUGGCGGGCAGGAUGGAGGUGAUGGUGGGGGAUCAGAUUUGGGAUUUUUUAGGGCAAUUUUGCCAUUUUCGCCCCCCGCUCCCGGGGAUUUUCGGGGUGCCUGACCCCGGGUGUCCCCGGGGGAGCAUUUUGGGGUGAAUUUGUGGUUUUUUGGGCUGCAGGCAGGAUGGAGGUGACGCUGGGCGCGGCGGUGGCGGCGCUGGCGCUGCUGCUGCUGCCGCUGCUGUACGAGCGCUGCGGCUCCUUCCGCUUCUUCUGCAAGAUGGGAUUCUACAACGGCUGGAUCCUGCUGCUGGCGCUGCUGGCCAUCCCCCUGUGCGCCCUGCGCGGCCGGGACGUGGAGAACAUGAAGAUCAUCCGGGGGCUGAUGCAGCACGUGAAGCGCCUGUACGGGAUCCGCAUGGAGGUGCGGGGGGCGCAGCACUUCCCCCCACGGCAGCCCUACGUGGUGGUCAGCAACCACCAGAGCUCGCUGGACCUGAUGGGGAUGAUGGAGGUGCUCCCGGACCGCUGCGUGCCCAUCGCCAAGCGGGAGCUGCUGUACAUGGGCGCCGUGGGCGUCGUCUGCUGGCUCGGGGGCAUCAUCUUCAUCGACCGCAAGCGCACCCACGACGCCAUCAGCGUCAUGGCCGAGGCCGCGCACACCAUGCUCAGCCAGGACGUGCGCGUGUGGGUGUUCCCCGAGGGGACGCGCAACCACAGCGGCUCCAUGCUGCCCUUCAAGCGCGGCGCCUUCCACCUGGCCGUGCAGGCACAGGUGCCCGUGGUGCCCAUCGUCAUCUCCUCCUACCAACACUUCUACAGCAAACGGGAGCGGCGCUUCACCCCCGGUCACUGUGUGAUCCAGGUGCUGCCGCCUCUCCCCACAUCGGGCCUGGGCCCCGCGGAGGUUCCGGCGCUGACGGAGCGCGUCCGGGGGGCGAUGCUGCGAACCUUCGAGCGGCUCUCGGCCGAGCUGCGGCCGCGGAGUGACCGCGGGAGUGACCAGGGGAGUGACCCCCACACUGACCACCUGACUGACCGCCCGAGUGACCACCUGAGUGACCACGGGAGUGACCGCCUGAGUGACCGCCCGAGUGACCACCAGACUGACCCCGGGAGUGACCCACAGAAUGACCCAUGGAGUGAUUCCACGGCCAUGAGUGACCACUGGAGUGACCACCAGAGUGACCAGAGGAGUGACCACCAGAGUGACCAGAGGAGUGACCACCGGAGUGACCCACAGAGUGACCACCGGAGUGACCCCAUGGCCAUGAGUGACCAGUGGAGUAACCACCAGAAUAACCGCCAGAGUGACCCCCGGAGUGACCACCAGAGUGACCCCUGGAGUGACCCCUGGAGUGACCCCCAGAGUGACCAGCUCGGCCCCGUGGCCACAAGUGACCGCCAGAGUGACCCCCAGAGUGACCCCACGGCCACGAGCGACCACCAGAGUGACCACUGGAGUGACCCCUGGAGUGACCCCCAGCGCCCCACGGUGCCCCACGGAGGGACCCCGCAGUGACCCCAGGCCUGAGACCCCCCGGGGGACCGGGCAGUGGGGCAGGGACUGACCCCCAAGUGGGGACAGAGUGACCCCCAAGUGGGGACAGAGUGACCCCCAAGUGGGGCCCACAGUGACCCCCAAGUGUGGCCUGGACUGACCCCCAAGUGGGGCCCACAGUGACCCCCAAGUGGGGCCUGGACUGACCCCCAAGUGGGGCCCACAGUGACCCCCAAGUGUGGCCUGGACUGACCCCCAAGUGGGCACGGACUGACCCCCAAGUGGGGCCCACAGUGACCCCCAAGUGACCCCGCUGUGCCCCAUAGCGGGCCCGGGCUGUGCCCCACGCCGGGGCGUGGCCGGGGCGUGGCCGGGCGUGGCCGGUGCUGAUUGGCUGCCGCAGCCAAGCCCCGCCCCCCAGGCGGUGCCGCGUAUUUAUUUUGGGGAGGGGGCGCAGAUUUUGCCAAAUUUCCCCCCCAGCUUUUAAUAAACCCCCCCAAAACCGUGGGGGCGUCGUGACGUCA